rnacentral:rRNA from 1 species
CCUACGGGGGGCAGCAGUGGGGAAUAUUGGACAAUGGGCGAAAGCCUGAUCCAGUCAUGCCGCGUGUGUGAAGAAGGCCUUCGGGUUGUAAAGCACUUUCAGUGGGGAAGAAAGCCUUGGGGCUAAUACCCUCGAGGAAGGACAUCACCCACAGAAGAAGCACCGGCUAACUCCGUGCCAGCAGCCGCGGUAAUACGGAGGGUGCGAGCGUUAAUCGGAAUUACUGGGCGUAAAGCGCGCGUAGGCGGUCUGAUAAGCCGGUUGUGAUAGCCCCGGGCUCAACCUGGGAACGGCAUCCGGAACUGUCAGGCUAGAGUGCAGGAGAGGAAGGUAGAAUUCCCGGUGUAGCGGUGAAAUGCGUAGAGAUCGGGAGGAAUACCAGUGGCGAAGGCGGCCUUCUGGACUGACACUGACGCUGAGGUGCGAAAGCGUGGGUAGCAAACAGGAUUAGAUACCCGUGUAGUC